CGUGAUGAGCAUGAAGCCUGUUUGGGAUUCUCUCUCUCUCUCCCUUUGCCCCUCUCCCCUCUCUCUAAAAUAAAAAAAAAAGAAUCAGUGACCUUAGAAAACAGGCUGGUGUCAAACACACUUACCGUAAGACCCAACACUUCCAGCCUUAGACACAGACCCACGUGAACAGAAAACAUGCGUCCAAACAGAAACUCGUAUGCCCGUGUCCGCAGCAGCAUCAUUUGUGACAACCCCAAGGUGGGGACAACCCACAUGUGCAUCGACUGAUGGGUAGGAAGACAAACUAAAACGGAUGUGGUAACUCCACAUCAUGGAUUCUUCUUUGGCCAUAAGAAGAAGCGAUGUAUGUAACAACAUGGAUGAAACUUGAGAACGUCAUGCCAAGUGAAAGAAGCCAGAUACAAAGGACCACGUCGCGUGCGAUUCCAUUUAUAUGACAUGUCCAUGCAGAUCCGUAGAGGCAGAAGGUAGAUUAGUUAGCAGACUGGCGGGGAGUGACUGUUACUGGGUACAGGGUUUUAUUUUGGGGUGGUCGGAAUGUUCUGGACUGGACAGAGGUGGACGGCAUAGUGAGCGUAUUAAAUGCCUCUGAAUUGUACACUUUAUUAUUUUAUUUUUAAUUUUUUUUAAUGUUUAUUUGUGUUCUUGAGAGAGAGAGACAGAGAACACUAGCAGGGGAGGGGCACAGAGAGGGGGAGACAGAGAAUCCGAAGCAGGCUCUGUGCUAUUCGCACAAAGCCCGAUGUGGGGCUCGAACUUUCGAACCAUGUGAUGCCAACCCGAGCUGAGGCUGGACACUCAACUGACUGAGCCGCUCAGGCACCCCUGAAUUCCACACUUGAAAUAAACUUUAUGCUGUGCAAAUUUCAUCUCAAUAAAAAAAGGAAAAAAAGAAAAACAAGCAGUGAUGUAUCAGUUUUCCUAAUCGAGGGCGAUUUUGAGCAAUCAGACAAAAUCUGGGUGUGGGACCAUUAGCCACUUAGGAAAAACACCCCAAGCUAGGCCCCAAAAGCCAUACGUGUGGCCCCUCCCUGGUCUCUGACCCUCUGCUAGGUUAGGCAGUAAAUGGGGCUCGAGAGCUUGGUCGCCGGAGUCAGUAAUAUCCGAUCCCCGUGAUUAGGGCCAAACAGCCAGUGUUCGUUCAUCUGUCUGCUGAAGUCGUGUUGAUUUGAAAGUCUGCUCUCAGGACCCGGGAGGCUCGUGUCUGCUUUUCUUACGUUCAAAGGCUGAUGGGGAAAGUGAUUGCUGAGGUCAGUCUUCUGAAAGGCGGGGGCGGGGAGGAGGGAAGGCUCAUGUUAUUUAAUUUGAACGUAAACAGAAGGAUGACCCCACGAGGCUGGCGGUUUCGGGAUGUGCCCGCAGCUGACAGCUGAGUUACAUUUAUGUAGCCACACGCCUGGGAAGGGAGACCCGGAGUCCCAGCCUUGAGGAGGUGAGGUCACGGGGAGGUCACACCCCUGUGCCCUCGGGCCUAGCCGGAGACACUGGACAGAGAGACCUCUCUUCUGGGAACUAAGCUUGCAUAAGUUUUCAUUUAUUUGUUGACUUAAUAUCUGUCCUCCUUAUUCUAAAGUCCACAAGAGCGAGCCCUGUGUCCACGGCAUGUAGCAGAGUGUGCUCGGCGGUGCCUGACGCACAGUAGGUGGGUUCUCGGUCCAUCUGCUGACUGACAGCUGGAGGCCCCUCGGUGAGGGGUGCGGGUGGCGCAAGGCAAAUCCGUGAGCAAACCCGGACAACACAGGGGGGCCCAGAGGGCUGGCUUUACUCCGCCCUGGGAGGGAAGGAGGGGGAGGUCACGAGGGGCUUCCUGGACGAGAGGGCACCCGAGCUGAGUCUCAGGGGAGGACAGAGGGUUUGGGGUCAGAGACUGGCAGGGUGGUUCCUGGAGACAAAGCGACACAGGCAGGGCUUUGGGGGCCGACAGGCCGGGGUCUGUGGGGCGACCGCGGGGGUCAGCCUGGCCGGGGCCGGCCUGGGGGGACCCCACCCUCACGAGGGCAGCAGGAAGCACCUGGAGGAGGAGGGACAGUCCGCUCUGUGCUGUUGGGAGAGCUCCCUGGGGCUGCUGUGGGAAGGUGGGCUGGAGAAAGCAGCAGCCGCAGGAGGCUCCUGAAGGUCUCGGGAAAGGAGGAGGAGGAAGCAGAGGGCCGCCCUGUCGAACGGAUACUGACCGACCGGCACGAGGAAGGGGAAGGAUCGGAGGGCAUUUUCCGGCAGGCAGGUUUGUUGGAAUUUGGUGACGGAUGGCCGCCGCCGGGCGUGAGAAGAAGGGCAAGUCUGGAGUCGUCAUGAGGCUAACAGCGAUGAGGACGAGGGUGACGAACAGGAUGGUUGCGGCGAGGUUCGCGGAGCCCUUACGAGGCAGCGCUCACGUGCUCCACGCCCUUGAGCCUCAUGAGGAUCCGCUGAAGUAGAGACUCUUUCUGUCCUCAUCAUAUGGACCAGAACACGGAGACCCAGAGAAGCUGUGAGGUGGCCCAAGUCGCCCGGCUGGCGUGUGGAACAGCCGAGGACAGUCAGACUUGAAGAGCCACGUUCUUGACCACAGGAGGUCAGAUCUGCAUGCUGUCUGCUGGCUCCCCCAGCCUCCCCGGCUCCCUCCCGUUUCCUCUCCGACAGUACGGUCUCUCUUCAUAACACCCUCGCACAUUUAGUCCUUUCGGUAUCUGCUUUGGGCGCCAGUGGAGGAAAUCAGAAAGGCUGCGCUCGGGGAACUCAGAAGCCUCGGCAAGGCCACGUGGGGCUGAAUGUGGCAGCAGAGUCUGGCCAGGAGGAAUAAUCUCUCUCUUGUAACCCUUGCUUCUCUCUGAGGAUGUUUCUCAUUACUUAAAUCAACGAACAGCCUUGUCAUGAACAAAGCCUCCUGUCGGAGGAUGAAGGAAAAGGGCACGUUCUCCAGUCAGGGGAUCCUGGUGGUUUGGUUCAACACGCCAGUGAGAGAAAACAGGAAUUUUAACUCCUACCACCCGCGCUCUCUUCCCCUCGCUCCAGGCGAGUAUGUUCUUAUGAGCCCGCUCCAGGAACGUGUGGGCAGUACCUGUACCUUCCCCCUCUUCAGGAAAUCAGGUGUUACGCUUUGGACAAAGGUAGCUAGCGGGGAUGCUGAAUUGCUUCAAGUCAGGCUUGUCUGAGCAAAUGCAACACGGUUAAUAUUCUGCGAACCCUCUAGCAUUUAUCAUAUGGCAUUUCACCAGAGAGCUAGUCUUUUCCUUAAAGCCUCCUGGGGUCACCUCCUGGUUACGCACAAGCUUCCCUUCACAGGCUGGGGAGGAAGGUGGCCCGAGGGGUGGUUAUGGGACUCAAGUUCCCGAAGAAAAGCACACACAAGGCAGCAAUGCCCGUGCUGUGUCCCGGAGUGAUGAGAGGCGCUCUGUACCUGGGCGCUCUGCAAACAGGUUGACGCUGUGUUGUGCCUCACAACACCCAGUACCCAGUGACUCUCGCUUUUCAACCAACAUCACAAACCCCGAAGGAACCUGCUAAGUGUCUUUGUUCUUUGAUAUCUUAAUGAUUAAAAAAAUCUUCAGGGUGCCUGGUGGCUCAGUCGGUGAA